rnacentral:misc_RNA from 1 species
CAUUUUACCAAAGUUUAUAUAAAAUCUAGUUUUUUAAUGCAACCGCAACGGAUUAGCAUAAUGUCGGAACGAAACGGCGAUUAGCAUAAAGCUGUGGUUAGACCGCGAGCGAUCUGUAAGCUUAGCUUUAGCGAUGGCGCGCUCGACCGGCCGAGAAGUAUAAUCCUGGUAAUUUACUUAGGUACUUUGAUGUUUUCUAUUUAUUUAAUCUUUUAGUUAACAAGAUACGUUAUGUUACAUUUUGAAACUUCUGAUAAUAGUGUGUCUAUUAAUUAGUAGUUGUAUUUUAUUUUACUUUUAUUUUUUCUUUCUUUCUUUCUCUGUUAAACGCUUGUUAUUUCUUCUUUAUAUAUUUUUUGGAGAUAAACUUACGGAUUGUUGUUUUGAAUACUGAAUGAUUGAUAUAUA